CCCGCAGUCCAUCAUCCCUUACGACACCGUUCCCCUCGCGGCGGCUCCACCACGUCGUUCCGGCGCACCGCUCCCCCGCGGCACCGGCGACGCCGCGCAGCUCCACCAUGCCGCCAGCUCCCUUGCGCAGCUCCCCUCCGCAGUUGCCUCCUCCGUCGCUCCCUCCUGCUCGUGCAUCUCCCGCUCGCCUCCCCCGCAGCUUCCACCUCCCUAAAAAAGGUCCUUGAUUUCCCAGAGAUCCUGCUCCAGCGACGCCAUGAGGGACCAAUUGUUUCCAAUUGCUUCCAAUGCUUGGUCGUGUUGUGUCUUCGCAUCUGACGAACCAAUUGUUGACUGCCUCUCUGACCAUGGGGAGCAGAGGGGGCGGCGACGCGGAUUGACCUGGAGCCGGCCACGGAGCUGGCGCGGAAGGGGGUCACUCUGCUGCUCCUCGAGGUGCCCCAGGUUCAGAUGGUGCCCCCGGGGCCUGCCCUUCGUCUACUACUGCUCCCCCAGCAGGCCGGGGACACUGGUAACUUUCACCAGGAGCAGAGACGGGGUCUCUUGGACAAAAAAUAAGAUUGGGGCUGCCUGUAUGAAGAUCACGGUCGGCACUACCACUAGCAGAAGCUGAGAAGCAGUAGAGGCGGAGGAAGACGACAACAACUGAAAAGGCUGGAGUGGCGGAAGACAUCGCACCGGCGGCCGAAGCGGACGACGCAUGUCCAACUCCCACAUCGAAGUGGGUUGCCGCGGCGGGCGCGAGGAAGUGCCGAGGACGCGAGCAGGACGAAUACGAGGUGUCUCCCGUUAGCCGUGGAGCCGCAGCGCAGGUGAGCCUUCGUCGCCGGCUGAGCCCUUUGCUGGCUGGGCCCGUGGGCGACGGGGGAGACGGUGGCUAGGGCCCGCGGUGCCUGCGGUUGACAGGGGUGGAAGAAGAGACCUGGAUUGAUUAGCAUGAAAUCUAAAAGGAUAGGGUUUUAUUGUAAAAUUACAAUUAAACUACGUUGACGACAUUCUUUUUCGGACGGAGGGAGUAUUCUCCUUCCUAUGUCA